rnacentral:rRNA from 1 species
UAUAAUGGGUCAGCGACUUAUAUUCUGUAGCAAGGUUAACCGUAUAGGGGAGCCGCAGGGAAACCGAGUCUUAACUGGGCGUUAAGUUGCAGGGUAUAGACCCGAAACCCGGUGAUCUAGCCAUGGGCAGGUUGAAGGUUGGGUAACACUAACUGGAGGACCGAACCGACUAAUGUUGAAAAAUUAGCGGAUGACUUGUGGCUGGGGGUGAAAGGCCAAUCAAACCGGGAGAUAGCUGGUUCUCCCCGAAAGCUAUUUAGGUAGCGCCUCGUGAACUCAUCUUCGGGGGUAGAGCACUGUUUCGGCUAGGGGGUCAUCCCGACUUACCAACCCGAUGCAAACUACGAAUACCGAAGAAUGUUAUCACGGGAGACACACGGCGGGUGCUAACGUCCGUCGUGAAGAGGGAAACAACCCAGACCGCCAGCUAAGGUCCCAAAGUCAUGGUUAAGUGGGAAACGAUGUGGGAAGGCACAGACAGCCAGGAUGUUGGCUUAGAAGCAGCCAUCAUUUAAAGAAAGCGUAAUAGCUCACUGGUCGAGUCGGCCUGCGCGGAAGAUG